CCUAAUAAUUCUGCACUCCCUGUAGACUCCAAUUUUUCCUGUUAAGGAGUCGUCGUCUUCAUACAGUAAGGUUAAUUAUGGAGUUCCACAGGGCUCUAUGCUUAGGCUAAUUGUAUGUACAUUAUGCCUGCUUUCUUUAGGAAGUGUCAUUAGAAUUCAUUAUUAUCAGGAUGUCCUAAAAACUCCCCGAAAAGCCUUCAGAUGAUCCAAAAUCCUGCAGCAAGAGUACUGACAGUACUGACAAAGAAACUUGAGGCCACUGCUGUUAAGAUUUGGCACUGUAUAAAUAAAAUAGAAUUGAAUUGGUUCAUCACACUUAACUCCAAACUGAAAACCAAAAUCAUCACUUAGUCUUUUAUUUCGUAGACAGUUUCUCCAUAAUUUCCAUAGUUGGACAGUUUGUUGUUUCUGUGCCUCUCAUCACUGUUCUUUUGUCAACAGUUGGCGAGACUGUACUUGCAGAGGGACAGUCUGGUACUGAGGUACAUAGCUGGUACACCUUGUCACUCACUGUAAAAGGACAGUAUGCAUCAGGGUCACUGAAUGGAUACCCUCUGUGGAAGAAUGCUGUGAUACUGACCCCAAAGGCUGGCUGGGCUGCCAUAGGAACACGCUCGUUUGAACUGGCCCAGUUUGAUAACUUUGCUUUGGUGGCUGAGUGAUGAAUUAACUUUAAAUCAUGAUUUACACUAUGCUGAAUGUCCUGAUUCAUUUAUGGACUUGAUUAGUACUUUACAGCCGAUAGCUUCAAGCAUAAUAAUGAUGUUGUGUGUAAAAUUUUGGGCGAUGUAUUGACAGAAAUGGGUUAUAGUAUUUAAUUACCAUGUAAUUAUGCAUCACUGUGGUUUUUUUUUGUUGGAAUGAUCCUGUCAUAUCAAACCUCAGUCCUGAACAGAAAUUAAUGUCUUUCUACAGCUCACAGCCAACAAAACACUGGUUUAAGACCUUUCUUUGAAGAGAUGCCAAGACUUCAAGAUAAGGCUGGAAUUGUUUUGGGGCAUAACUUGUAGUGAAUCGUGUGUUUGUAGCACAUCAGAAUCCAUCACACUUGUACAGGAUGAGCCUUAUAGCCUGGUGUUAGAAUCAAAUGACCAUAUUAGUAUUUGGUGUUAGCCGUGUAGUUGGCUUGUCACUACCAUAGGAGCAUCCCUCAGUUCCCUCAAUGGGCUCCACCCCUCAUUUGUUGCAUCUAUUUUCAAAACAGCUAAGUUUCAACACACCACGCUUCUUGGAAAUAAUACUUAAUGUCUUGGUGGUUUCCUCCAUCUCCAUCUUUUUAUAUACAGUGUAUGUGGAGGAAAAAAAUAUAUCAUAUGGCACUGAAUCCUGGAACUUUGUUUGAUGUGAUUGUAAAUGAUUUUAUAGUUUGACUUUAUAUUGUCUUAACUGCUUUGAAUAAAUCAAAUAGAAAGCCAA